UCUUUGUACAGCGCCUCGUGAAUGUGUUAACAUUUAGCCUAGUCCCAUUCAUUCCUAUGGCUCCAAACAGGGAUGAAUUUAGAAGCCACCAAACACUUGCAUGUUUUCCCUAUUUAAAGACUGUUACAUGAGUAGUUACACAAGUAAGUUUGGCACAAAAUAAAACUUUUGUUUGGAGCCAUUGGAAUGAUUGGGGCUAGGCUAAACGCUACAUUCACGAGGCACUGUAAAAGAUGAAGUGCACGCAUUGAAAAAAGAUAGGGCUGUAUUAAUUCGUCUAAGUUGAGGUAAGAACAUAGUAAAAUAUUGAAAACGGCUAGUCCAAGGCUGAUACUGCUGGUUGCUGGUGAUGAAGUCACAUUUGGAGGUUGGAUGAUCAGCAGUGAAAACAACAUCAUCUGUGAAGGAAAGAUGAAGCUGCGAGGACACUGGAGUUUGUUCAAAGAUGCUUAAUUGGUGUGAACCCUAAGAGGUGAACAAAAGCCAGGCAGGUGAAGGUGUCCGAGAAGACAGGAAAGCUUGUCCAGAAAAACGCAGCAACUGUUAAUCCCCAUGUGACCACCCUCAUCAAAAACUUCAUGGACUUUGAGUGGGGCUUUCACAUUGUAUUCUGCAGUGUUGUGAUAUUUAUGUGACAUCACAGCAUUAUGUUUUAUUCAGCCCAGUCUCAUUAGUGAGGCAGAAACUGACAUUUAAGAAUGCACUGAAUUUUGUUAUAUUUAAUAAAAACAGUGUUUUAUCAUCAUCCUUUGUUUGAGAAUUUUUUUGCAAGCAAUUUUAAGUGUUUAUUUUAAAAUUACAUUUUAACAAUGCUAGAAAAAUCACAUUCUACAGUAUAAAUAACAGCAGGAACCCUAAAAUAACAGUAUAAUGCAUCCAA